rnacentral:rRNA from 1 species
AAAAUACGACUCUCGGCAACGGAUAUCUCGGCUCUCGCAUCGAUGAAGAACGUAGCGAAAUGCGAUACUUGGUGUGAAUUGCAGAAUCCCGUGCCAUCGAGUCUUUGAACGCAAGUUGCGCCCGAAGCCGUCAGGCCGAGGGCACGUCUGCCUGGGCGUCACG